AGUCAUCUGUAGUGUUCGUAAGUUGCUUUUUAAUUUGGGCCUAACACUCUUUGAUCAGGGAGCCCAAUAGGUUUUCUCAUAGCGCACACGCCUCAAUUAGGAGGACUUGCAAAAUGAGAAACAGGGCACCCACCUGUAUUUAGCAGGCCGAAUGAUCAAGCUAUUAUAACUACGACAUAAACGGACUCUAU
rnacentral:other from 2 species